AUUUCUCCCUUUUUCCUUAGGUAUCUUCAUUAACUCCUAGGUUCCUGAAGAUUAAGAGUCUUGAACAAAGUGACAUUUUUGGCUUGCUGGAGUUAAUGGACAAAUCCUAUGCUCUUCAGCUCAGUCUGAUCAGUGAAGGUGCAGACUGCAUAUUUAUUCCCAAAAAGCUUUUUUUAGAGGAAGCACCUUCCAAAUCCAGGCAAAUAGCAUUGGAGAUGGUGAGAGGCUAUCCCACAGAGAGUGUGAUCCAUGAGAGCUAUAUUGUACAACAAGAAUGGAGCACGUACAAGACCAAACUUAUUGGACCACUCCUUGACAGAUGGCAUAAGAAAACUCCAGCAACUAGCAAUGUUUGCUGGUAAGCUUAUUUCCUGUAUAUGUG